UCACCCCCAUGCCCCUGUCCUAUCUGAGUGCCACCAGUCCGUCAUUCUGAGAGCAAUUCUACAACUUGAACGCCCCAGAGGGCACGGCGGAUGCCCCGGUCGUUUGGCCCAGGCCCCUGAGGAAAGGGCUGCACCCGGAGAAGUGCUGGCUGUCCCACAGACAACCUCUGAGACAGCAGGCUGCAGGGCUUAUCAUAAAGCAUACACAAGCACACAGACCUGUCCUGUAUCGCUAACCUGUUCUCGCCAGUCUGGUCCACCAGAGUGGAAGUUCCCUGAGCAAGGCAAAAAGUGACCUUCGGUAUCAGUGUAGAGCAGCCGUCUCAGAAAUGCAGGGUCCCAGCCCAAGUCUGGACGGCCUGGAUGGCGGUGCCUGAGUUCAGGUGUAAGUCUGCAUGAGGCCAGAUGUCGACGGCGAAUCGCAGCACCCUAUCCUCACCCUGACACUAGCAGGAAAGCCGCGCACCAAGCAGAUGCCAACCAGGGGGAUGGGGAGGGAGGGCAAGGCGCCCGCCGGGCAGCCAGCGGGACAGGAAAGAGUGAGGAGCAGCGAAGGCUGGCCCACAGGGGACGAGGCGGUGGAAGGCUCCGGGCGGCCGCGGGCCCCAGAGGGCUCUCUCCGACCUGCAGGCCUAGAAACCGGUCGUGGGACGCCGUUUGGCUGCCAGCUCGGCCCCCUCCGCCCGGAAGCGCGCACAAGCCGUGCCCUGCCCGCACCACACCGCACCGCACGCCGCAGUCCGCACUCCCGCCCCGCUCCGGCAGGCUCCGCGCUCAGCCGGGCACAGGUGCCUGCUCGCCCUCACGGGAGAGCCGGAGCGGGGCGAGGCUCCGAGACACCUCCCGGCCCGCCGCCGGGCACCGCUGACUCCGCGGAGG